rnacentral:rRNA from 1 species
GACAGAGGGUGCAAACGUUGUUCGGAAUUACUGGGCGUAAAGCGCGUGUAGGCGGUCGUGCAAGUCGGGUGUGAAAGCCCUGGGCUCAACCCAGGAAGUGCAUUCGAUACUGCGCGACUGGAGUCCCGGAGAGGAUGGUGGAACUCUCGGUGUAGAGGUGAAAUUCGUAGAUAUCGAGAAGAACACCGGUGGCGAAGGCGGCCAUCUGGACGGUGACUGACGCUGAGACGCGAAAGCGUGGGGAGCAAACAGG